AGUGGAGAUCAAGAUGGUAUAAUACCGAUAGAGGGAACCUUACAACAUUUGGAAAAGUUGGCCGGGGAGUUAAACAUCAAGUUAACAAAAGAGGAAACAUGGAAUUCUGGAACCAAGGAAGGAGGAUUGAAGUAUGAAUUCGGGGACUUACUAAAAUUCUUGACGGUGAAGGGAGGUAAUCAUCAUGUUACAUCUUCUCGACCAUCACAAGCUUUUUCUAUUUUCUCCAAUUUCACAAUUAAUUGGAUGCAUUGAGGAUUGGUGAUGAAACUUAGGGAGCACACAAUCAUUCACUAUAAUAAGACUUGUUGUUGUAAUAAUUUAUUGUGAUGAUAUGUAUUAUUUUAUGAUGCAUGGACAUCAUAAAUUUUUAUAUUAUGCAAUAAUAUAAUUAGUUAAAUCAUCUGAUAUCUAACAAAUAAUUAUUAUUUUAAUAAAA